CACACCCGGCCCUGACCUUACAGAGCUGCUGCCCUUGACUGAGCGCCUCGAAGGUGAACCGCUGGUGGCACUUGGUACAAGCGUAAAGCGCCGCCAUUCCGCCGCCCGCCCCGACAAGAGUAGCCUUCACCCAACCCGAGAAGUCAGCUGGGAAAGUCACCUGGCCCCAGGAUGCUGAACCAUCAUGAAUACGUGCAAGUUGCUAAGCGUCCAGAUGUUGAUCAUAUGACCCUGGGGAUGCUGCAAAGGAUAGUGGAAGCCAAGGAUCUGGCUGAAAUAUUGUCAAGCUCCCGGGAGCUUGACAUACACACGGGGAUGGGGGAGAAGCGGACGGCAGCCUACCAACCCCGGCAACCACGGUGUGACAGCUGGUGCCCGGCCUCAGCCGGAAUACAUGGUGGCCCCGCCUCUUCGCGCAGCCGCACAGACAAGCAUGGACGCCAAUCGGGAUACGGGCCGGGAAGGUCCCGGCGAGCAGCUGGCGGCGGCAAGUCCGGCGUUCCCCGCGUUACAGCUGACGAUGGUACACCCGGAAGUCCCCGCGGGGCCGGUGGAACGGACGGCCGUCGGAAAGACACCGUGGACCGGAGGCCUCCUGCAGCUACCGGGGACCCUGGCGGGGCUAGCAGGGGGGGGUU